UACGAAGGGGGCUAGCGUUGUUCGGAUUUACUGGGCGUAAAGCGCACGUAGGCGGAUCGUUAAGUCGGGGGGUGAAAUCCUGGGGCUCAACCCCCAGAACUGCCUUCGAUACUGGCGAUCUCGAGUCCGGAAGAGGUGAGUGGAACUCCUAGUGUAGAGGUGGAAUUCGUAGAUAUUAGGAAGAACACCAGUGGCGAAGGCGGCCAUCUGGAUCAACACUGACGCUGAGGCACGAAAGCGUGGGGGAGCAAACAGG
rnacentral:rRNA from 1 species